rnacentral:rRNA from 1 species
GGUGCUUGCACUGGAAAAACUUAGCGGCGAACGGGUGAGUAACACGUAAAGAACCUGCCUCAUAGACUGGGACAACUAUUGGAAACGAUAGCUAAUACCGGAUAACAGUAUUUCUCGCAUGAGAGAUAUUUAAAAGUUGGUUAUGCUAACACUAUGAGAUGGCUUUGCGGUGCAUUAGCUAGUUGGUGGGGUAAAGGCCUACCAAGGCGACGAUGCAUAGCCGACCUGAGAGGGUGAUCGGCCACACUGGGACUGAGACACGGCCCAGACUCCUACGGGAGGCAGCAGUAGGGAAUCUUCCGCAAUGGGCGAAAGCCUGACGGAGCAACGCCGCGUGAGUGAAGAAGGAUUUCGGUUCGUAAAGCUCUGUUGUUAGGGAAGAAUGGAUAUGUAGUAACUAUACAUAUAAGAGACGGUACCUAACCAGAAAGCCACGGCUAACUACGUGCCAGCAGCCGCGGUAAUACGUAGGUGGCAAGCGUUGUCCGGAAUUAUUGGGCGUAAAGCGCGCGCAGGUGGUUUAAUAAGUCUGAUGUGAAAGCCCACGGCUCAACCGUGGAGGGUCAUUGGAAACUGUUAAACUUGAGUGCAGGAGAGAAAAGUGGAAUUCCUAGUGUAGCGGUGAAAUGCGUGGAGAUUA